GUCGCAUUCGCGGCGUGAGAUGAACCUUGAUGCGGUCUCUUUGAUCCACCUCGUCGAAGCGCAUGCUUUGGCGUUGUGGCACAUUGAGCAUUGCUUGGUCUCUUGUAUACGGAACAUAUAGUGGGCAUGGAUCUAACGAUUCUCGUUUGCCCUCAUAUUAGCGUAACGCUUCUCUUACACGACUUGCACCACGUUUUAG
rnacentral:misc_RNA from 1 species